GUAGAUAUAGCUUAAUAGGUAGAGCGCUUGAGUGUGGAUCAAGCUGUUUUUGGUUCGAGUCCAAAUAUUUACC